AAUCUCACUAACGCUGGACUCCAUUUGACUCUUUUGCAGGCUACGUGUGCCGCCUGGCCAUUCAAACUGUCAAUUUUAGGUCCAGAAGUGUCCAAACGACAAGUUCUCAAAACUCUCUGAAAUAUGGCUCCCUCCGAGUUAAGCAAUUCUGAAAGGCAUUCUCUGGGAAAAGUCUGUGGAAGAGAGAGGGAUCUUCUUGCAAAUAAUGUGGUCUCAGGCAAGGACACAGCAUCUUGGCUGUCUGCUAAAAAAAAAAAAAAAAUGCCUAGACUCUCAGUGGAAAUUGAGUGUCAAGCUGCAAAAUCUCAAAUGGCAGACUAUCAUCAUUUAAGGAAGGCAGGAGAGAGCCCUCGGCAGGGAGGACGGAGCUGGCAGGCCCUCGCCAGGUCUUGGGGCCUUUUCCGCAGGGUUUCUGCGAGUCUGGGGAGCGCGCCGCGUCCGGGGAAACAGCGCCUGGACACCGGAAAAGGCGAUUCCCUGAGCGCCUGGAGUUGGAGACAAUUCCUGGUUCAGAUUUAAACAUCUUUCUAGGUCUGCGCGGGGCGGCCAUUGGCGGCGGAGUGUCACGUGACCGCGGGGGCGUGCCAAUGUGCGCCCUCAC
rnacentral:sRNA from 1 species